CAUCACCAACAUCUACCACAAUUUGUCCAGCCAUUCCCCAAUUGAUGGGCAUCCCCUCAUUUUCCAGUUUUGGGCCACCACAAAGAGCGCAGCUAUGAAUAUUCUUGUACAAGUCUUUUUCCUUAUUGUCUCUUUGGGGUACAAACCCAGCAGUAGCACAGGAACUUUUGAAAAAAGUGUCCAACCUGGAGCCCAAAGUUCUGGGUUACACAUUUGUGUACCUCAGCUUUGGAGAACAUGACUAUUGAAUCCAAUUUUUAUUUCUGAUUGAUUGACUGAUUUUUUUAACCCCUUACCUUCCAUCUUAGAAUCAAUACUGUGUAUUGGUUCUAAGGCAGAAGAGUGAUAAGGGCUAAGCUAUGGGGGUCAAGUGACUUGCCCAGGCUCACACAGCUAGGCCAGAUUUGAACCCAGGACCUCCUGUCUCUGGGCUGGCUGUCAAUCCACUGAGCCACCUAACUGUUCUCUGAUUGAUUGAUUGAUUAACAGAGCUGAUGACCCAUAAAGACCAAAGUCCAGAAAGGAAAGACAAGAGACUUAAUUCUUGAGUCUCCUAUAAAAUGAAGGCGGCGUGUUAGCGAAACUUCAAAGCCUCUGUCAAUUCUGAAGUUCCAUGACAAUAAAGGAUUAUGUUUAUAAUGUGUCAUGCAUUUUAUAAUUUUAUCAAAAAGGGGGAAACGAGUGUUUCUGUUUAAGAGGAGUAUCAACUGUCCAGAAAAUGCAGAACAAUUCACUCCCUGCUGUUGCCAGAUAAAUUUUUUUUUUAAUAAAGACAAGACUUUUUAAAACACCCUACUCAUUUUUUAAAACUUUGAAAAAAUAGACAAGUAUGUUUACAUAAAUUUUAGACCUCUGAUGAGUUUUACAUAGUCCAGACUGGGAAGAACUGUAAAGCCCCUGUUGACCACCUGGCAAAUCACAUGAAAGAUUAUUCAGUGCUUGGUACCUGAGCUCCUACUUUGUGCUGAGUUUUGGAGAAUUUGCAGGAAAAGUAAAAUAUUAAUUUUGUUCUAGGGAGCUUACACUCUCAUAGAAGGCUGGUAGUUACGGUUGAGGUCCCCAUUUAUACUUUAGGUUGCAUACAUCUGGAGGAAGGCCAAGAAUCUCUCAGAGAGGGGAUGCUCAAGACCAGGUCCUGCCUCUGGUUAGUAACUAGGUCUAUGACCAAGUUGGUCAUUUAGCCUAUGGUCCUCAAGCUUAAGAAUUGAACCGGAUGGCCUCUAAAGCUCUCCUAGUUUUAACGUCCUAAAUGUCAACGAGACUCUUAAUAUUAAAUAGCUCUUCCAUAAGGUUGAUGCUGCUUUUUCACGAAGUUAAAAUAUAUCCGCAAAUUAAUGUUUCAGGCUUCCUUUUUGUGGAUGUCCUUAUUUUUGUGAUCAAAGUUUAUUUUCUUAAAUUUAUACCUUUUUCCCAGCCCCACAAUCAAUCCUCUCUAUUACGAAUGUGCUGAGCUGCUGUAAUUUUCUCUGAAUUUCCUGGGAAUUAGCAUUUCUUAGAACACUGAAAAUAUCACCAAUACUUUCUGUGAAUAUGACUUGGAAGGACAGGUAGCAGUUUACUUAACACCCUCCUUAGAACCUAAAGCACCCUUCAGCCUCCUCAGAGAUGAUGACAGGAUAUCUUGAGAGAUGAUUCCUGCUCGGCUGAUCUCCACGUUAUUCCUGGAGAUAUAGUAAAAUCCCACCCUUUAAUCAAUUUGGUGGUAACUGGGAUGAGGAACGUCAUUGAUGACGCGUCAUCAAAAGUCAAGAGUAACGAAGCAAUAUUAUUAUUUCAAAAUUGUUUUCAUAGCAUUAGAGAAGUGAUUCUUUGUUCUGUAAUUCAGUUUAUUGUCCUAGUUUAAAAAUACAAAGUCUAUUAUCAGAAAUAUGGAGGUUUUAAUUUCAAGAAACAAAUACAAAAGUAUUUCCAACCGAACCUUGAAAGGGGUAUGUCUGAAAUGCCCGAUCUUCUAUGGAUCCCAUUGCUUCUCAGGAAAUAGAUACUUUUAUGAUUUCAUUAUCUUGUGUUUCGUUUGAUGCUACUAAAUUGUGAUUUCUAUGUCUUGGGAAGAUGAAAUUCAUAUCAAAAUUCUUUUAAAGAACUUUCUAUGUCUUGUGUGAAUAUAAAAACCAAAAAUGGUGCUUCUCCAUCACUUAAAAAUUUUUAAAAGAUAUCAAGAAUGUUUUUUGUUCUCUUAUAGGACAUGCAGUCAAGCUUGGGGAGAUUUUCAUUCUUUUGCUCCAAGAAGCAAACUAGAUUCAAUCUCCCCGUGUGGAAGAAAAGCAUUUAGUGUCCAGGAGUUGGCUUCAGCUCACUUUGGAUACCUUUGGAUGCCUGGUUUCUCAUCGUACCAUUUUCUGCUGCAAAUGGGGAAUUUCAAGACAGCAAGGUUUUAGACCUGAAAGGAGAAAGGAGAGGUCUCCAGCUCCAUACAAAAGUGACCAUCCAGUUGACCUCUUCAUUUUACACAUCAGGCACCUGAGGCCCAGGGCAGUGAUAAGCUGGAAGGAAAGGAGGGAAGAAAAGAAUCUUCUGGAAGGAUGAGAUCAACAAAGUCCAGUCUAGAUUUAAAGAAAUAUCAAUAUCAGGUGUGCUAUGAGCAGGGAACUCUUUUAUCCAGGAAUUUAAAGACCCCCAAACCUAAAAACUCUCAAGGAAAUGAUCUUUCUCUAAUGGUGGAAAUUCAGCCACAAGACAGGUAGCAAGAGAAAUGUCCAAGCAGAACGGCCCUGUCUCCGGCCCUCUAAUUUUUCCAUGUGGGCAGUGGCCUAUCCUGCCAACUCAUAAGGCCAGCCUUGUUCCUUUAAGUUUCCAGGCCCAGCACUCAAACCACAAACUUGAAUUCCUGUAAAAGUUCAUCUCUUCACAAUUCUUCUGCAACUUUUCAGCAUACUGAAAUAACUUCUGAUAACCAAGAUGGUGGUUGGCUCCGAGCUGCCGAGACAAGAAUAGAAUGUCCAGCCUGGCAUACCACGCAUAAUAUUGCCUGACCAACUUCAUUUUGAAAUAACAUCACUAUAAUACAUUAUAACCAACCCCAAAGAAACAUCAUGAAACCGCACUGGACUGUCAUUCAGCCAAUCACCCAAGAUGCAUAAUGAAUGCUCUAAAUCUGGAACUAAAUGUUCCUUGAAACAUGGUUUCACCUAGGAUAUUUUUGUAGAGCCAAUUAAGAAUGUCCUAAAAAUCAGGAGUGCUUGAUCAUCCUGUGAAUGAUUUGCACACAUUAGAAGAUGGCGUCCUUUUUUCUAAAGCACUGGCAUUUCAAUAUUACUUUAAAUGUACUUAAAUUUUUGGUAUAGUCUCUUAAAAAUAAUUAAAUUUGAGAUCUUUUUAAUG